rnacentral:rRNA from 1 species
CCUACGGGAGGCAGCAGUAGGGAAUAUUGCUCAAUGGGGGAAACCCUGAAGCAGCAACGCCGCGUGGAGGAUGAAGGUUUUCGGAUUUUAAACUCCUUUUGUUAGAGAAGAUAAUGACGGUAUCUAACGAAUAAGCACCGGCUAACUCCGGGCCAGCAGCCGCGGUAAUACGGAGGGUGCAAGCGUUACUCGGAAUCACUGGGCGUAAAGAGCGCGUAGGCGGGAUAGCAAGUCAGAUGUGAAAUCCUAUGGCUUAACCAUAGAACUGCAUUUGAAACUGGUAUUCUAGAGUAUGGGAGAGGUAGGUGGAAUUCUUGGUGUAGGGGUAAAAUCCGUAGAGAGCAAGAGGAAUACUCAGUGCGAAGGCGACCUGCUAGAACAUAACUGACGCUGAUGCGCGAAAGCGUGGGGAGCAAACAGGAUUAGAUACCCGAGUAGUC